GCUUUCGUAGAUCACUGGUAGAUCGCCUUCACCGAAUAAAUGGUGAUGCAAGGACGUUGCGAAGGUCAUGUGGGUUCGACUCCCACCGAGGGCA